GGCCCAGAUUCGAAGUAGGGUAGGUUAGCAUGGUCAGCUGACUCUACUGAUCUACUCUACUUCAAGUUUUUACCC
rnacentral:pre_miRNA from 1 species